rnacentral:rRNA from 1 species
GACGAACGCUGGCGGCGUGCUUAACACAUGCAAGUCGAACGAAGUGGCGAACGGGUGCGUAACGCGUAAUCAACCUGCCCUUCAGAGGGGGACCACAGUUGGAAACGACUGCUAAUACCGCAUACUGAAGGAGGGGAUUGCGUCUGAUUAGCUAGGUGGAGGGGUAACGGCCCACUAAGGCGAUGAUCAGUAGCCGGGAUGGGAGAAUUAACGGAUAAAUUGGGACUGAGACACGGCUCAGACUCCGACGGGAGGCAGCAGUGGGGAAUCUUCCGAAAUGGACGAAAGUCUGACGGAGCAACGCCGCGUAAGUGAUGACGGCCUUCGGGUUGUAAAGCUCUGUUAAUCGGGACGCGGUACCGGAAUAGAAAGCCACGGCUAACUACGUGCCAGCAGCCGCGGUAAUUC